rnacentral:rRNA from 1 species
AUUGAACGCUGGCGGCAUGCCUUACACAUGCAAGUCGAACGGUAACAGGUCUUCGGAUGCUGACGAGUGGCGAACGGGUGAGUAAUGCAUCGGAACGUGCCCAGUAGUGGGGGAUAGCCCGGCGAAAGCCGGAUUAAUACCGCAUACGACCUGAGGGUGAAAGGGGGGGAUCGCAAGACCUCUCGCUAUUGGAGCGGCCGAUGUCAGAUUAGCUAGUUGGUGGGGUAAAGGCCUACCAAGGCAACGAUCUGUAGUUGGUCUGAGAGGACGACCAGCCAGACUGGGACUGAGACACGGCCCAGACUCCUACGGGAGGCAGCAGGGGGGAAUUUUGGAAAAUGGGCGCAAGCCUGAUCCAGCAAUGCCGCGUGCAGGAAGAAGGCCUUCGGGUUGUAAACUGCUUUUGUCAGGGAAGAAAUCUUCUGGGUUAAUACCUCGGGAGGAUGACGGUACCUGAAGAAUAAGCACCGGCUAACUACGUGCCAGCAGCCGCCGUAAAAC